rnacentral:rRNA from 1 species
AGUUACCAGCACGUUAUGGUGGGCACUCUAAGGAGACUGCCGGUGCAACCGGAGGAAGGUGGGGAUGACGUCAAGUCAUCAUGGCCCUUACGGCCUGGGCUACACACGUGCUACAAUGGUCGGUACAAAGGGUUGCCAAGCCGCGAGGUGGAGCUAAUCCCAUAAAACCGAUCGUAGUCCGGAUCGCAGUCUGCAACUCGACUGCGUGAAGUCGGAAUCGCUAGUAAUCGUGAAUCAGAAUGUCACGGUGAAUACGUUCCCGGGCCUU